GUCAGGUGUGCUAAGAGCGGAGAACGCUAACAGCAGGGCGGCGGGUCUCCGGUAACAGCGCUGAGACACACUGCCUCCAGAAGUGGCACAAUAAAUAACAGAGGAACUGGGGUGCUGCUUGUAGUCACUAACCUGGACCAAGAACAGCCAGAGAAUGGAGAUGCAGAAGUGAACAAGCAGCUCAAACAUUGCUGAAAAAAGGACAAGAAGUCUAAUAAUCCUCUACAGGGACAGGAGUGCAUGCUGAUGAUAUGAAGGAGUUCAGGAAGCCCCUCAGCUCCUCUUCAGCUGAAGGAGGGAUGUGAGGAGCCUCUUACC